rnacentral:lncRNA from 1 species
AGGACAAGCUCUCUCACUUUGUCGCCCAGACUGGAAUGCAGUAGUGUGGUCACAGCUCACUGUAGCCUCGAUUUGCCAGGCUCAUGUGAUCCUCUCAUCUCAACCUCCCAAGUAGCUGGGGACACAGGCUCGUGCCACCACACCCAGCUAAUUAUUUUUUAUUUUUUGUAGAGACGAGGUCUUGCUCUGCUGCCUAGGCUUGUCCCAAACUCCUAGCCUCAAUCUAUCCUUCUGUCUUGGCUUCCCAAAGUGCUGGGAUUAUAGGCAUGAGCCACUGUGCCCAGCUUUUAUUGCUUUAAGACAGGGUCUUGCUCUAUUUCCCAAGCUGGAGUACAGUGGUGCAGUCAUAGCUCACUGCAGCCUCAAUCUCCCAGGCCGAAGUGAUCCUCUCGAGUAGCUGGGCCUGCAGGCACAUGCCACCACGCCUGGCUAAUCUUUUAAUUUUAUCUGUGCGUAGGGUUUCCCUAUGUUGCCUGGGCUGGUCCUGAACUCCUGGGCUGAAGCACUCUUCCUGUCUUGGCCUCCCAAAGUGCUGGGAUUACAGGUGUGAGCCACCACACCUGGCCCCCUCUCUACUUCCUUACCCAUUUAAAUACUACUCUCUCAAAAGCCUUACUUAAAUGUCACUACGUCCAUGAACUGUCCUUGUUUCCCCCAGCCUUUUGUCGCUUAACAUGUUUCUUUAUGCUUAUUUUAUAUCUUUGUGAGUUCAGGCUUCUUCAUCUCAAGGACCAUGUCUUAUCUUUUUAACAGCCACGACACUUAAUGUCAUUUCUUUUCAUGUUUUUUUGUUUGUUUGUUUGUUUGUUUUGAGACAGAGACUCGCUCUGUCACUCAGGGUGGAGUGCAGUGGCACAAUCUUGGCCCCCCGCAGCCUCCACCUCCUGGGUUCAAGCGAUUCUCAUGCCUCAGCCUCCCAAGUAGCUGGGACUAUAGGCGUGCGCCACCAUGCCUGGCUAAUGUUUUUAUAUUUUUAGUAGAGAUGGGGUUUCGCUGUGUUGGCCAGGCUGGUCUUGACUCCUGGCCACAAGUGAUCCACCCACCUUGGCCUCCCAAGUGUUAUGAUUACAGGCGUGAGCUACCACGUUUAGCCUGCCUUGCCUUUUCUAUGGUGGUUGGUUGAUAAUUAUUCAGUUUGCUUAUUUCAUAUCGAUAAUAAUAUUUCUGAUUAUUGAUACAUGUUAAUAGAGGACCAGAAAUAUUUGACCACUUGCCAGUGAAAUAUGAAGAGAAAGUAUUUGUAAAUCAUCACUGCAGUACCUACAGGGAGGCAAACAUGUCAAAUGUAUUAUUUAAUUUAUUGUAGAUCUGGUGCUGUGUCUAACCCUUAAGCAGGUUGAUGCUUUAGGGAAAGUCCUAGAAAUUACCUUUCUCUAAUAACGGGAACUUACAAACAGUGCUUCAAGACUUCCGCCGUCCUGGAUGAUCCAGAAAACCUCCGUUUCACCAUCGGUGUACUUAAGUUCAUGUACGAUAAUUGCAUUCUGUUUUUGUGAUCAGCAAUUCACUGCAACAAUUUUUCUAGGAAUUAAAAUAUAUAAUCUAAUUUUCUUAAAGUAACAAUGAUGUAAAGAGAUAGUUUUUAUGACUUUGUGUAACCUUGCAUAUGACUUUAUUGAUAUCAUCAGUCAUGGCACAUUAAAUUAUCUGGAAAUA